GAGAAAGUGGUAAAUGGUUAUAAAUAAAGAACAAGAAAAAGGAAUAUGACAUAGAUCACACAUAUGUUGAACGUUCGUAAUUAGAUCUGGUCAAUAUAUCCUGUACAAGUAAUGAAAUUAAAGCUACCCCAACCAGCAUUUUUAUUGGAGCUGAAUAAUAGCUAUUAUUUUAUUAUUCAUAAACAAGAAGUCAUUCAUGACUUGAAUUUCUUUGUCAUCCAUAAAAAGUAUGUAAGGCAAGAACAUAAGAGAAACAAAGCAAAUACUGAAAUUAAAAAGAACCACUUAUGCAUAAUAGAGAUCUAUCUUAUUUCAUCACUAAAUGUAACAUUUAUGUGUACGUAGUUGAGCGACAUCGGUAAAGAGUAGGAUCCCAGAGCUCAUAUGUACAGCUACAGCAAAUGAAACAAUCACUGCAAUCAUCAUCAGAACUACAAGGUCUCCCACAAGUGAAAAUAUCAUUAAGUUGCGGAAGUAGUCUCCUUUUCAGUCCUGAUAGAUUAGGAUCGACAUCUCUUGCAGCCAUAACUUGAUUCUUGGAAAACCACAUCGCAUCAACUGAAAAUAUUCUCCAUCAUAAUUACAAAAUUAUGUUAUGAUUUGUAUAAUACGGGGAAAAAAAUACACUCAAUCCACAUAUGCAUAGAAACACAGCAACGUAACAUUGACAAUCAUAAUAUAUAAUUUAGGUUUACAGUAAAGAGAUAAAGAUAGAUGAAUACUAACUAGUGAUUGCCAUGAGAAGAAUAGUGAAGAUCGAACCAAACUUAAGCCCCGCCAUACUAGGUCAAAUACUUCAAGCUUUAUGAAAGUUUUUUGGUGAGCAUCUUAGCUUGUUGCUCUUCAAAGGUCACAAUUUUUAGUUUGCUCUUAUGAUGUUCAAGGCUUGUCUGAGUUGACCUUCCAUCUAAACUAUUUCUAAAUUAUUCUUGUCGUCUUACCCGCCUCGAAAUGUGACCUAGUAUUGUGGAGAAAACCCCUUAACCACUAUGACAAUGAAAGGCCCG
rnacentral:lncRNA from 1 species